CAGUAGCCGCGGGAAUACGUAGGUGGCAAGCGUUGUCCGGAAUUAUAGGGCGUAAAGGGCUCGCAGGCGGUUUCUUAAGUCUGAUGUGAAAGCCCCCGGCUCAACCGGGGAGGGUCAUUGGAAACUGGGAAACUUGAGUGCAGAAGAGGAGAGUGGAAUUCCACGUGUAGCGGUGAAAUGCGUAGAGAUGUGGAGGAACACCAGUGGCGAAGGCGACUCUCUGGUCUGUAACUGACGCUGAGGAGCGAAAGCGUGGGGAGCGAACAGGAUUAGAUACCCCCGUAGUCCCUGUCUCUUAUAC
rnacentral:rRNA from 1 species